rnacentral:rRNA from 1 species
GACGAACGCUGGCGGCGUGCUUAACACAUGCAAGUCGAACGGGCCUUGUCCCCUUUUUUUUUGGGGGUGGGGUUAGUGGCGAACGGGUGAGUAACACGUGAGUAACCUGCCCCUCACUUCUGGAUAACCGCUUGAAAGGGUGGCUAAUACGGGGUGUUCUGGCCUGCUCGCAUGGGUGGGUUUGGAAAGAUUCGACCGGUUUUGGUUGUUUUGGUGGGGGAUGGGCUCGCGGCCUAUCAGCUUGUUGGUGGGGUGAUGGUCUGCCAAGGCUUUGACGGGUAGCCGGCCUGAGAGGGUGGGCGGGCACACUGGGACUGAGACACGGCCCAGACUCCUACGGGAGGCAGCAGUGGGGAAUAUUGCACAAGGGGCGCAAGCCUGAUGCAGCGACGCCGCGUGAGGGAUGGAGGCCUUCGGGUUGUGAACCUCUUUCGCCAGUGAAGAAGGUCCUGCUCUUUGUGGUGGGGUUGACGGUAGCUGGGUUAAUGAAGCGCCGGCUAACUACGUG